rnacentral:misc_RNA from 1 species
CCCGAAAAAAGGAGAGAAAAUAGGCGAAAAGAAGCAAUGUACAAGACGUUUUGGAGGCGUGUUAUACUCGAGUUUUUCCAUGCUGGGCAAAAUAUGCUUUAUCUGCAUUCGAUAAACGAUCUUGGAACAUUGCCCAUUCGUUUCUACAUCUCUCUCUUACCCCUUCCCAGGGAGCUUUACCGUUCACGGGCUGACCCUGAUUCCCAAGAGAAGGAAUGACUUGAUGCACAAUCCACUGUGAAUCUACCACACCAAUUUUUUCAUGAGCAGGCUCUACACAUCUUCUUAGUGCAAAAUCCAAUCCCCAUCCAUGC